AUAGAAAUAGCGAGAUGGAAGACACGAUUCCAUGGGAAAAAACACAACCGUUACAUUCUUUCUCGUCUUUCAACCCUUGUUUUUUAUUUUUUCAUGAAAUGAAUUACUCUUCUUUUUAGUUUG
rnacentral:ribozyme from 1 species